CUUGCCAGGGAACUACGAGCCCCAGCUUAAAACCCAAAGGACUUGGCGGUGCUUUAGACCCCCCUAGAGGAGCCUGUUCUAGAACCGAUAACCCCCGUUAAACCUCACCCCCUCUUGUUAAUUCCGCCUAUAUACCGCCGUCGUCAGCUUACCCUGUGAAGGACUUACAGUGAGCUUAAUUGGUACAACCUAAAACGUCAGGUCGAGGUGUAGCGUACGAGGGGGGAAGAAAUGGGCUACAUUCACUGACCCAGUGCACACGAACAAUGCCUUGAAAUGGACAUUCAAAGGAGGAUUUAGCAGUAAGGGGAGAAUAGAGUGCUCCCCUGAAACUGGCCCUGAAGCGCGCACACACCGCCCGUCACUCUCCCCAAAAAUAAACCCAAACAUAAUUAAAGCUAUCUUUAAAUAAAGGGGAGGCAAGUCGUAACAUGGUAAGUGUACCGGAAGGUGCACUUGGAAAAAU
rnacentral:rRNA from 1 species